UACGUAGGGCGCAAGCGUUGUCCGGAAUUAUUGGGCGUAAAGAGCUCGUAGGCGGUUUGUCGCGUCUGCUGUGAAAACCUAAGGCUCAACCUUGGGCUUGCAGUGGGUACGGGCAGACUAGAGUGCGGUAGGGGUGACUGGAAUUCCUGGUGUAGCGGUGGAAUGCGCAGAUAUCAGGAGGAACACCGGUGGCGAAGGCGGGUCUCUGGGCCGAUACUGACGC
rnacentral:rRNA from 1 species